rnacentral:rRNA from 1 species
GAUGAACGCUGGCGGCGUGCCUAAUACAUGCAAGUCGAACGCUUAGCGAAAGGUGCUUGCACCUUUCAAGUGAGUGGCGAACGGGUGAGUAACACGUGGACAACCUUCCUCAAGGCUGGGGAUAACAUUUGGAUACAGAUGCUAAUACCGAAUAAUACUUAGUGCCGCAUGACACAAAUUUAAAAGUCGCUUCGGCGUCACCUAGAUAUGGAUCCGCGGUGCAUUAGUUAGUUGGUGGGGUAAAGGCCUACCAAGACAAUGAUGCAUAUCCGAGUUGAGAGACUGAUAGGCCACAUUGGGAGUGAAACACGGACAAAACUACUACGGGAGGCUGCAGUAGGGAAUCUUCCACAAUGGGCGAAAGCCUGAUGGAGCAACGCCGCGUGUGUGAUGAAGGCUUUCGGGUAGUAAGGAACUGUUGUAUGGGAAGAACAGCUAGAAUAAGAAAUGAUUUUAGUUUGACGGUACCAUACCAGAAAGGGACGGCUAAAUACGUG